CCUCCGCAUCCCCCCACCCUCUUCUCCGUCUUCCUCUUCCACGCUCGGCGACUGGACCCUCCCCGUGGCCUCCUCUGUCGCGGCCUCGUUCGAAACCGGAAAGACCGCCCAGUACCAACGAAGUGGAAGGACAAAGCCGUCGUCAGUGUCGUGUUUUGCGGCUCGUCGUUGUUCACGGAUUCGAGGUCUUAUGCUUCGAUUUAAUUUCUUGCAUUAGGAAGUGACGAUUGUUAUGCAAGUUUCUGAACUUUUCUGAAGGUUCUGAUCCAAGGGGUCAAAAUUGGGUGACGAGGUGCCCUGUCUGACUGAGUUUUAUAUCAUGAACUAUACGUACUGGCUUCUCCACCAGCAAACAACGGGAGAAACUACGCGAGCUACCAACCAAAUGCACGCCAAUAUACAGCUGAAAACAGUUUCCAUUAUUCCUGUGGCGCUAGUGCUUGCCUGGCAAUCAGGUGCUGCAGACAGAUUGUGGAUCACACAUGCUUAAUCUGCACAAAGUUCUGCUUCAAGUACAUCAUCAGGCAUUACUGCAAGAACUACUCAGCUGGUUUGCAGAAACGGAUGCCUACAUUACAGUUUUGGCGGCCACUUAGCCGUUCCCAGGAUCUUGACGCCGUCAACAACAUCAUCGCGACCCUCCGUGCAUUGGCCAUCCGCUUGGCGCCGCCGCUACCUCCACCACCCCAGAGCCGGAUUAGAUCAUGUAGUCUUUGGCCUGCCUGAGGCUUGGCCUUGUUUUUUAUGUUUUGGGCUUGUUGAGUUGUGCCCUCGGCAGAACCUAGUACUUCUCAUCACUGUUGUUCCAUGUUUGUGUGUGUGGGUGUGAACCUUAUUGUACUCCUUGGCUGUGGUGGCUUGCUUUAUUUAUAAAGCGGGGCAAAAGCCUUUUCCGGUAAUAACCCUUUCAAGAGAUGUUUUCUUGAGAAACACGCCAAUGUAAAUCUUUCACUUGACUUGGACAACA